AUUGAACGCUGGCGGCAGGCCUAACACAUGCAAGUCGAGCGGAUGAAGGGAGCUUGCUCCUGGAUUCAGCGGCGGACGGGUGAGUAAUGCCUAGGAAUCUGCCUGGUAGUGGGGGAUAACGUCCGGAAACGGGCGCUAAUACCGCAUACGUCCUGAGGGAGAAAGUGGGGGAUCUUCGGACCUCACGCUAUCAGAUGAGCCUAGGUCGGAUUAGCUAGUUGGUGGGGUAAAGGCCUACCAAGGCGACGAUCCGUAACUGGUCUGAGAGGAUGAUCAGUCACACUGGAACUGAGACACGGUCCAGACUCCUACGGGAGGCAGCAGUGGGGAAUAUUGGACAAAGGGCGAAAGCCUGAUCCAGCCAUGCCGCGUGUGUGAAGAAGGUCUUCGGAUUGUAAAGCACUUUAAGUUGGGAGGAAGGGCAGUAAGUUAAUACCUUGCUGUUUUGACGUUACCAGCAGAAUAAGCACCGGCUAACUUCGUG
rnacentral:rRNA from 1 species